UUUAUAACAUGGAACCAGAGACAAUUUUAACCUUGGAAUUCAAAUGUCAAGAUUUUUCAUUCAUUCAUUUCUCUCAAAAAUGACAGGAGGAUGCCAUAGACAAAUCCAUGUGCACUUCAAUUCAAUUUCGAUCGAUCAUAUGUUUUCUUUGUGUAGUUUUUUCAGCCGCUGUAAUUCGAAUUGGUUAUAAUGUAAAUCCCUAAUGAAAUUUCAUUAAAGUUCGUACAGUGUUUAUGUGAAAAACAAAAACAUUCGGGAUCAUAAUUCAAGUUUAGUCGGGAAAAAUUGUACGGUUUUGAAAAGGUGCACUUCGAGUGCACGUGCUUGCAUUUUUCAGAUAAUUUCAUGUCAUUUCAGUCAUAUAAGUGUUUCAAAAGUGAGCUAAUAUUAAGGGGAACUUGCUUUUAACUGUAUACUUCAGCUUAAGGAUUAAGUUUUGUGGUUUUCAUCAAAAAUCUCGGUUUAAAGCAAAUGUUAGGUUGAGUUGGAACAUCUCUUAUUUGGUUAUUUUUUAAGACGAAAUUUGCGAUGCAUGCGUUAACCUGGAUUAGAGCUUUGAAGGAUGAAGUGUUAGUGAUGGAUGCACGAAUGAUGCAAUGCCAAAUGUGCAGUUGUGAAACAUGUGCAAUAUAUUGUUCAGUGUAUAUAAAAGAUUUUAAAAUUAAGUGUGCAAACUGUAAAUAUAAAAGGUGAUAAUAUAAUCACAACAAUUGGUCAAAGGUAUUUGUUUAGUUUUCGACAUAUUCGAAAAAGUGCGCUUUGGAUGCAGUGUUUUUGUGCUACAUUUUACUUUUGAAGAUGCUGCAGGAAUGCUGAAGUCGUUCCGCCGCGCGUCGCUAGAUGGCGUUGGUCAAAGCGGUAUUUUUACAAGAAACAUAACGUGUCAACCGCUGCCUUCGCCGUCGCCGCCAUUGUAAUUUACAGCAUCGAUAAAAUGCACAAUGCAGCAAUUGAAGAAUCAUCGUCCCAGUCCGCCGCUUUAUCCGUGUUACUUUUUAAAGUGUAUUUAUCAUACAGAAGUCCUAGAAAUUUCUGGAACAGCAAAGAGGGUGCAGUCAAAAUUGAUCAUGGGUGAAAUAUAUCUAUAAAUCCUGUCAUCUUUGAGGACUUGUGAUCUUUUUUACUGCAUUUCUUGCAGUUCUUAGGAUCUUUAAUUUGUGACACGAGACGCUUUAAUUAUAAUUUGUUACGUCCACCUUAUUUCAUGUGUAGUUUUAAGAUUCCAGAGGAAAUUAUCAAAACGAUAUAUUAUUUAUUAUUAAAAAUCUAGUA